rfam:Cajanus cajan Scaffold133603_4, whole genome shotgun sequence.
UGGCGACGAUUUAGUAUUAUUUGUGCUUCUGACUUUUUUCGAUGAAGCGCAAUCGGUUAAAAGAUAGUUGAAUUUCUUGAUAUGAUCUA